rnacentral:rRNA from 1 species
AUUGAACGCUGGCGGCAUGCCUUACACAUGCAAGUCGAACGGUAACAGGUUAAGCUGACGAGUGGCGAACGGGUGAGUAAUGUAUCGGAACGUGCCCAGUCGUGGGGUAUAACUGCGCGAAAGAGCAGCUAAUACCGCAUACGACCUGAGGGUGAAAGCGGUGGAUCGCAAGACCUCGCGCGAUUGGAGCGGCCGAUAUCAGAUUAGGUAGUUGGGGAGGUAAAGGCUCACCAAGCCGACGAUCUGUAGCUGGUCUGAGAGGACGACCAGCCACACUGGGACUGAGACACGGCCCAGACUCCUACGGGAGGCAGCAGUGGGGAAUUUUGGACAAUGGGCGCAAGCCUGAUCCAGCCAUGCCGCGUGCGGGAAGAAGGCCUUCGGGUUGUAAACCGCUUUUGUCAGGGAAGAAAAGGUUCUGGCUAAUACCUGGGACUCAUGACGGUACCUGAAGAAUAAGCACCGGCUAACUACGUG